GACGAACGCUGGCGGCGUGCCUAACACAUGCAAGUCAACGAGAAAGGGGUAGCAAUAUCCCGAGUACAGUGGCGCACGGGUGAGUAACACGUAGGCAAUCUGCCUUCAGGACGGGGAUAAUUUCGCGAAAGCGGGACUAAUACCCGAUUAUGCAGCGGCACCGCAUGGUGACAGUUGUUAAAAGCCGCAAGGCGCCUGGAGAUGAGCCUGCGUCCCAUUAGGUAGUUGGCGGGGUAACGGCCCACCAAGCCCGCGAUGGGUAGCUGGUCUGAGAGGAUGGCCAGCCACACUGGAACUGAGACACGGUCCAGACUCCUACGGGAGGCAGCAGUGAGGAAUAUUGCGCAAUGGCCGAAAGGCUGACGCAGCGACGCCGCGUGAGGGAUGAAGUCCGUUAGGAUGUAAACCUCUUUUGCAGGGGAUGAAGCUGCCGCUACAGGCGGCAGUCGACCGUACCCUGCGAAUAAGGGUCGGCUAACUACGUGCCAGCAGCCGCAGUAACAC
rnacentral:rRNA from 1 species